GGGAUUGAAGCACAAAGGCUGUGCGUCCGAUUGUCUAUCGGAAAGGUGCGAGUUCGAUUCUCGUCAGUCCCGCCA
rnacentral:tRNA from 1 species